UUCACUCACUGGCCGCUCACCUCACCUCACGCACAUAAACUUCAUUCAUUCAUUAAAUAAUUUUGCGAUCCAAGGUGAAGACGCACGGCACGGAAAAUUUAAAUAAAAAACUUUGAACCAUGUCGUGGAACAAGGUCUCGUUCACAUACUUCAACGUGAAGGCGCUGGGAGAGAGCGGUCGCCUCCUCCUCGCUUAUGGAGGGCAGGAGUUCGAAGACAAG